GCCUCCUUGGCUCAGUUGGCUAGAGCGCAGGUCUCAUAGAAAUAUGAUGUGCGUUAAUGCACAGUAAUCCUGAGGUCGCAAGUUCGAGCCUUGCAGGGGGCA
rnacentral:tRNA from 1 species